GCCCCCGCCCCCCAGCAAAUAAUAAACAAUCGAGUAAAAUUCUAAGGAAGGAGAGAGAGGAGAGGGAAAAAGGGAGAGGGCGCACUAGAAACCAAUCCUUCGCCCGCUGGCGGUGGGAGGGCUCAAGGGGGGACGCGAGAAGACAGCGGACGGGAGGAAGGGAGCCGACCUGGGACCCUGCGGCCGCCGGCGACAAGGAGGCGUCGGGGGCGGAAAGUUGCAGCGCACUCGACUGGGUGCGCCUGGCGGGGCCUGUCCCACUGAGAAGCCCCGCGUUUGCAUUUGGUUUACAGCCUGGGAGUGUGGAGUGUGAUGUACGACCACAACUCGGCUUCAAGUGCCAGUGCUUGGGGUGUGCAGAGUCUGGGACACAGAAGAUAAAUCCUCAGUCUUGUCCAAGAUCAGGAGAAUAAGAAGACUCUACCCUCUAAAACCAGGAGUCCAAAGGGCCAAAGGAACGGUGAAUGUGAAAUUAACCUGCUGUGCAGAAGAGGAUCCCAGGAAAAAUCGUCUGUCUUGAUCAAAGUCCUGAAUAAAGGAGUAUAAAAAAUUGUCUUCCUUGAGAAUUCA